UACAGAGGGUGCAAGCGUUGUUCGGAAUUAUUGGGCGUAAAGGGCGCGUAGGCGGUGCGGUAAGUCUGUAGUGAAAUCUCUGGGCUCAACUCAGAGUCUGCAUCGGAAACUGCCGGGCUUGAGUGUGGGAGAGGUGAGUGGAAUUCCUGGUGUAGCGGUGAAAUGCGUAGAUAUCAGGAGGAACACCUGUGGCGAAAGCGGCUCACUGGACCAUAACUGACGCUGAUGCACGAAAGCUAGGGGAGCAAACAGG
rnacentral:rRNA from 1 species